rnacentral:rRNA from 1 species
CAGCCGCCGCGGUAAUACGUAGGGUGCAAGCGUUAAUCGGAAUUACUGGGCGUAAAGCGUGCGCAGGCGGUUUGUUAAGACAGAUGUGAAAUCCCCGGGCUCAACCUGGGAACUGCAUCCAAAACUGGCAAGCUAGAGUAUGGUAGAGGGUGGUGGAAUUUCCUGUGUAGCGGUGAAAUGCGUAGAUAUAGGAAGGAACACCAGUGGCGAAGGCGACCACCUGGACUGAUACUGACACUGAGGUGCGAAAGCGUGGGGAGCAAACAGGAUUAGAUACCCGAGUAGUCCCUGUCUCUUAUAC